UCUUCCGAGUGUUUAUUCCCAGUGUGUAUUUGACCUAACUCUCUUUAUUGACCCUGCCUCUGCCUGUGUGUUCUUGGAAACCUUUGCCGGAUCUCUGCCUCCCUGUUCACCAAACCUGCUCGUCGCCGGCUGCCUGCGACGUGUCGUUGGUGGACAUUACGGCAGGAUCAAUGUCAGAGCCUGAACCCCAGUCAACAUCCCCGCUUUGGCAGAGUGUCUGGGUUGCCAUGGACACCCAGGCCAAGAUUAAGGGCCACAUCCAACAGCUCCACAUGGUGACCUGGAAGAAUGAGGAAGGGGAUCUGAAAGGCCGUAGGUCCCCGGGGCAGUGGAAGGGCACAAGUGGUCUGGACUGGGUUGUGUUUCAUAACAGAUGCCACCCUGGAAAAAACCCCUACAAAAACACAGACCUACAUCCAGACCUCAUUAUAUAAGUCAACCAGCAGGAAAUGAGACAGCCCGAGGAUAUUGUGAACACUGAUCAAUCAGAAUGACACUGAUUUGGACCAAUGGAAAUGCAUAGUAAAGGUUCAGUGUUUUUUAACAUCCCGGUUCUCUGAGCUUAAGUUAAAUCUAAUUAAACUCAUCUCCAGACAAAUACGAGAUAGAUGUUCCGAGGGCGAACCAGAAUUUAAUCAGACAAACAUAAUUAUCCUGUUUAGAUGUUUCCUGGAGACCAU